CCUACGGGCGGCAGCAGUGAGGAAUAUUGGUCAAUGGGCGGAAGCCUGAACCAGCCAAGUAGCGUGCAGGAUGACGGCCCUACGGGUUGUAAACUGCUUUUAUACGGGAAUAACGCGCCUUACGUGUAGGGCUUUGCACGUACCGUAUGUAUAAGGACCGGCUAAUUCCGUGCCAGCAGUCGCGGUAAUACGGAAGGUCCGGGCGUUAUCCGGAGUUAUUGGGUUUAAAGGGAGGGUAGGCGGGAUGUCAAGCGUGCUGUGAAAUGUCCGGGCUCAACCCGGGCCUUGCAGCGGAAACUGGCGUGCUUGAGUCCGCGGAAGGCAGGCGGAAUUCGUCGUGUAGCGGUGAAAUGCUUAGAUAUGACGAAGAACCCCAGUUGCGAAGGCAGCUUGCUGCAGCGGAACUGACGCUGAUGCUCGAAAGCGCGGGUAUCGAACAGGAUUAGAUACCCUGGUAGUC
rnacentral:rRNA from 1 species